GUCCUAAGUUCCACAAUCUUCACAUUCAGAUAUCAGCACUUUGCAUAGAACUGUCACUAUGAAGUUGUGUCUAAACUGGAUUUUUCUUGUAACACUUUUAAAUGGUAUCCACUGUGAGGUGAAGCUGUUGGAAUCUGGAGGAGGUUUGGUGCAGUCUGGGGCUUCCCUCAGACUCUCCUGUGUAGCUUCUGGAUUCACCUUUAGUGAUUUCUUCAUGGACUGGGUCCGACAGGCUCCAGGGAAAGGACUGGAGUGGAUUGCAGCAAGUAGAAACAAAGCUAGGGAUUAUUCAGCAGUGUACAGUGCAUCCGUGAAUGGAAGGUUCACCAUCUCAAGGGAUAUUUCCCAAAGCAUCCUCUAUCUUCAGAUGAACACCCUGAAAGCUGAAGACACUGCUACAUAUUACUGUGUAAGAAAUGCACACAGUGAGAAGUCUUCAAUGUUGUAG